CGGGCGGCGGGCGGAAGGCAUCACUUUGUCCGGACUCUAAUUCAAAUUGUAUUCAUCCGAUCUUCACCAAACUUGGUCAGCAGUUGCAUCUAGUUGAUAUCUAGGCCAAGUUCGAAUAUGGGUCAUGCCGGGUCAAAAACUAGGUCAUAGGGUCAAUUAGUGCAUUUUCAACGGCGCCACUUUGUCCGGACUCUAAUUCAAAUUGUAUUCAUCCGAUCUUCACCAAACUUGGUCAGUAGUUGCAUCUAGUUGAUAUCUAGGUCAAGUCCGAAUAUGGGUCAUGCUGGGUCAAAAACUAGGUCAAAGGGUCAAUUAGUGCAUUUUACUUUGUCCGGACUCUAAUUCAAAUUGUAUAAAUCUUAUCUUCACCAAACUUGGUCAGUAGUUGCAUCUAGUUGAUAUCUAGGCCAAGUUCGAAUAUGGGUCAUGCCAGGUAAAAAACUAGGUCAUAGGGUCAAUUAGUCCAUUUUCAACAGCGCCACUUUGUCCGGACUCUUAUUCAAAUUGUAUUCAUCCGCUGAACACUUAUCGAACUUGAUAGCAAUAAAAACCGCUAUAAGCAUCUUAUAAAGGUGAAUUACAGACAGCCUUGGUAUUCAUGCUGAUAUAAAAUGUAAAAGCAAACAGUAUUUAAACAUUCAAACCAAAUAUUUAUUUCAGUUUUUAGGGAACUAAUUUCAAGAUAAGUAAUAUCAGUACAGGAAAUACUGCCAUUCUAUACCUAUGUAGGUCUAAACAAUUAUGAUUUAAAUAUUGUGUUUUAGAGAACAAAUGAGACUAAGUGUACACUUAUUGAUAUCAAUGCAUAUAUAUGAAUAUAUCAGUUAUAUAAGU